UACGAAAGGAGCAGGUGUUAUUCAGAUUAACUGGGCGUAAAGGGUGCGUAGGUGGUUUGUUAUGUGUACUAUAAAAUUAUAAAGCAUAACUUUUAUACUGUAGUGUAGACAACUAAACUAGAGUUAGGUAGAGGGUAGUAGAAUCUCUAGUGUAAAGGUGAAAUUUGAUAAAUUUAGAGAGAAUACCAAUGGCGUAGGCAACUACCUAGGCCUUAACUGACACUGAGGUGCGAAGGUAUGGGUAGCAAAUAGG
rnacentral:rRNA from 1 species